rnacentral:lncRNA from 1 species
GUACAUCUGGACCUCUGCAUGCACUUCCCAUCUCCCAGGCUCUGUAGGAUGCUCCUGCCAGCAGCAACACAGUGGAUGCUGCUUGUGCAUGUGCUGAGACCCAGGGGCCAGCUUCUAAAGACAGGCCGCUGACAGCCUUGCUCACUGACAGGGAUGACGCCAAAGCUCUGGGAACAUUAACCUGGAUGUAGCCCAAGGGAGAUGCGGUUGUGAUGCCCUGGAAUUGCUCUUCAAUUAUUAUUAGAUGUGCUGUGGUGACAACAUGCUGCUGAAAACCAGAGCCCUUGGCUGCCCCUCCAUGUUUUUUCCUUACUGCAAAGAGGAACAGGAUGUAGGUUUCAAUCACACCCAGUCACUUGCAGGGAUGCGUGGCUUUGAGUUUGAGUAAGUUAUUUGUGUCUUUGAAGACUCAGUUUCCUCACCUGGAGAGAUGCAGCAUUACUGUUGAUGGAGUCUGCCUGGGAGAGGCCAAAGGAAGGGAGAGCCUUACCCAAUCCCAGCUGAGCUGAGGGACAGCCUGGCUGGGCUCCAGAUGGGAAGAUGGGAGAGCAAGGCUCCCAU